GGAUGCGAUCAUACCAGCACUAAAGCACCGGAUCCCAUCAGAACUCCGAAGUUAAGCGGGCUUGGGCGAGAGUAGUACUAGGAUGGGUGACCUCCUGCGAAGUCCUCGUGUUGCAUUCC
rnacentral:rRNA from 1 species